GAUGAACGCUAGCUACAGGCUUAACACAUGCAAGUCGAGGGGAAACGAUGAGAGAGCUUGCUCUCUUAGGCGUCGACCGGCGCACGGGUGAGUAACGCGUAUCCAACCUACCCAUUACAGGGGGAUAACCUUGCGAAAGUAAGACUAAUACCCCACGGCAUUUUAUGGUGGCAUCAUUAUAGGAUUAAAGAUUUAUUGGUAAUGGAUGGGGAUGCGUCUGAUUAGCUUGUUGGCGGGGUAACGGCCCACCAAGGCAACGAUCAGUAGGGGUUCUGAGAGGAAGGUCCCCCACAUUGGAACUGAGACACGGUCCAAACUCCUACGGGAGGCAGCAGUGAGGAAUAUUGGUCAAUGGGCGAGAGCUUGAACCAGCCAAGUAGCGUGCAGGAUGACGGCCCUAUGGGUUGUAAACUGCUUUUAUAGGGGAAUAAAGUGAGCUACGUGUAGUUUAUUGCAUGUACCCUAUGAAUAAGGACCGGCUAAUUCCGU
rnacentral:rRNA from 1 species